CUGACCUCGAGCAAUCCACCCGCCUCGGCCUCCCAGAGUGCUAGGAUUACAGGCGUGAGCCACCGCGCCCGGCCCAAGCCAUUUUUGAACUUGUUUGGGAGCUAUCACUUUUCUCCUCAGCUUCAUCACUGUGGUCCUUGCACUGAAAGGAAUCAAAGAAUUUCAAAAUACUCUUGAAGAUGAUCUUGGGAAGUUAGCAGUAUCACAGCUUACUGUCAUCACUACUACGACCAAGACCACCAGCACCGAACUGCUUCGCUGUCCUGGGACCAGCCCUGCCGCCACGGCUGCGCUUUCCUGUUCAGAGCCUGCCCCGCGGGCUCGGGAUCCGUGCUCGCGGAGACACCUGCGCGCCCCCUCCCGGCGCGGAGGACGCCGUCGGGCUCCGCCUUCCUAGUUCUGUAAGUGUUUUCUGGCACAGCAGAAAAUGAUCAGAUCUCAGGUCUCACUCUGUUUCCUGGGGUAGAAUGCAGUGCUGUGAUCA